AAUCGAAGCAGUGAACUUAAGCCCCAGUAAACGGCGGCCGUAACUAUAACGGUCCUAAGGUAGCGAAAUUCCUUGUCGGGUAAGUUCCGACCCGCACGAAAGGCGUAACGAUUUUGGCACUGUCUCAACAACAGACUCGGUGAAAUUGUAAUUCCGGUGAAGAUGCCGGAUACCUGCGACAGGACGGAAAGACCCCAUGGAGCUUUACUGUAGCUUGACAUUGGGUCUUGGUACUACAUGUACAGGAUAGGUGGGAGGCUUUGAAACCAGGACGCCAGUUUUGGCGGAGCCAUCCUUGGGAUACCACCCUUGUAGUACUGGGACUCUAACCAUAGGCCAUGAAUCUGGUCUUGGGACACUGUCAGGUGGGCAGUUUGACUGGGGCGGUCGCCUCCCAAAAGGUAACGGAGGCGCUCAAAGGUUCUCUCAGUACGGUCGGAAAUCGUACGUAGAGUGUAAAGGCAAAAGAGAGCUUGAUUGCAAGACAUACAGGUCGAGCAAGGAUGAAAAUCGGACUUAGUGAUCCGGUGGU
rnacentral:rRNA from 1 species